AGUGCAGAACGUACACCACCGCAGCGGUUGGGGGUGGGGGAGCCCCAAACCAGUGAAAUCUCAAGCUGAGCGUCUGGCUGGAGUUCAACAAGGCUCAGUGAACAGCACAGGAUGGGGAAGUUCAAAGUCAGGGCGACUCUUCUGGUCUUAACUUCCUAGAUUUUCCUAGAUCUGGGUGCCUCUGUGUAUAUAUUAACCUUCAUGCAUUUUUGCCCCCAGCAAUUGUGUACAGUCAGCUCCAAAGGCACAGCUUGUGUGCUAACGUGCAAAGCGAAGUCAAAACCCUGUGCUUGGCGCUCCCUUCUAACUUUCUGGCUUGUCCAAGUCUAAAUAUUGACAUCGCUCCUCAGUUGAGAUGUUUGAUACUGCUGGGGAUGGAAACGGUGCAGCUAACAGUAGGAUCUAAUGAUAUAUUUCUACAUAGUUGCCUUCCACUUCUUUUCGGGGGGCAGAGGGCUGGAUUCUCCUGUCUGCACAUCACCCCUUGGUUGUUUUCCCCAAAGCUGAGCACACACAGACAAGGUUCAAGGAACACAUUGUUCCCUCAAAAAACAGACCGGCAGCUGAGAGAGGAUGGCAAUCCUGAUGGAUGAGAAAAAGAACAGAGCUGUGGACACCUGAGAGAAGACUAUAGGACUUCAAACAUCAACCCAUUUCAGUUCUGAUGUCAGCAAGGAGAGAACUGGCAAACUGGGCCAACCGUUUGAUUGACACAUA